rnacentral:misc_RNA from 1 species
CUUCGGCCUGGUUAUUCAUAACCCUUUGUUGUCCGACUCUGUUGCCUCCGGGGCGACCCUGCCUUCGGGCGGGGGCUCCGGGUGGACACUUCAAACUCUUGCGUAACUUUGCAGUCUGAGUAAACUUAAUUAAUAAAUUAAAACUUUUAACAACGGAUCUCUUGGUUCUGGCAUCGAUAAGAACGCAGCAAUCUUGGUUCUGGCAUCGAUGAAGAACGCAGCAAUCCUCCCCUUUGUUGUCCCUUCCUUUGCCC